rnacentral:tRNA from 1 species
GAAGUAUGAAGUUCAAGUGUAAGCUGCUAACUUAACACUCUAACGGUUCAACUCCGUUUAUAUUUCU